GACGAACGCUGGCGGCGUGCUUAACACAUGCAAGUCGAACGGAAAGGCCCUGCUUUUGUGGGGUGCUCGAGUGGCGAACGGGUGAGUAACACGUGAGUAACCUGCCCUUGACUUUGGGAUAACUUCAGGAAACUGGGGCUAAUACCGGAUAGGAGCUCCUGCUGCAUGGGGGGGGUUGGAAAGUUUCGGCGGUGGGGGGUGGACUCGCGGCUUAUCAGCUUGUUGGUGGGGUAGUGGCUUACCAAGGCUUUGACGGGUAGCCGGCCUGAGAGGGUGACCGGCCACAUUGGGACUGGGAUACGGCCCAGAGUCCUACGGGAGGCAGCAGUGGGGAAUAUUGCACAAUGGGCGGAAGCCUGAUGCAGCAACGCCGCGUGCGUGAUGACGGCCUUCGGGUUGUAAACCGCUUUCGCCUGUGACGAAGCGUGAGUGACGGUAAUGGGUAAAGAAGCACCGGCUAACUACGUG
rnacentral:rRNA from 1 species